UACGUAGGGGGCAAGCGUUGUCCGGAAUGACUGGGCGUAAAGGGCGUGUAGGCGGCCGAUUAAGUCUGGAGUGAAAGUCCUGCUUUCAAGGUGGGAAUUGCUUUGGAGACUGGUUGGCUUGAGUGCGGAAGAGGUAAGUGGAAUUCCCAGUGUAGCGGUGAAAUGCGUAGAGAUUGGGAGGAACACCAGUGGCGAAGGCGACUUACUGGGCCGUAACUGACGCUGAGGCGCGAAAGCGUGGGGAGCGAACAGGAUUAGAUACCCUGGUAGUCCACGCUGUAAACGAUGAAUGCUAGGUGUAGCGGGUAUCGACCCCUGCUGUGCCGCAGUUAACACAAUAAGCAUUCCGCCUGGGGAGUACGGCCGCAAGGUUGAA
rnacentral:rRNA from 1 species